CUCCCACCGAAUAGGUUUGUACCUACUACCACGCCAGGCUUGUCGUGACUCGAGAACCUGGACUGCCAUCUAAUUUCCUUUCCAUGUGACCUUCGGCAAAUCAGAUGGCUACUCUGAGCUUCUGUUUUCUCAAAUGAAAAAAGGGGCCAGCAGAAGUCUGCCUAAGUGGUUGUUAUGGUUGAGAUCUCUGAUGUCCUCCAAAGCCUCGUGUAUUCAGAGGCGGGGCUUUUGGAAGGGGAUUGGGUCACAGGGGUGCCGUUAUCUUCGGGAGAUUAAUCCAAUGAUGAAUCCUUGCUGAAUGUGCUGUUAGGAGGCGGGGCCAGGCGGGGAGACGCAGGUCUCCGGGGCGUGACCCGGAAGGGUUCGUCUCUCUUCCUGGACGCCAUGAUGUGAGCGGUUUCCCUCCAUCCAGGCCUCUCCACGGUGCUGCCAACCAUGCGAGGACUGAAAGCUCUGAAACGAAACCUCUAGUUUCAGGAGGGCACACGGAGUCCAGAGCACGUGUGAGGUCGGCCAUCAGCUGGGCUACGGAUCGAUGCAGAUAUGAGCAGGAAGAGGGUCCCCAUGCAACCAGUGGGCCCUUUCCGGUGACGAAGAUCUGCAAGCAUCUGUGCUGGGAGGCGUUCCUGGGUGCCAGGCUUCUGCUGGGUGCGGAAAUGACCUCGUGCUCCAAAGAGACGGAGGAAGGGAAGAGCGGCCGGGGCUCUGAUCAUGGGCUAGCCAGGGUGUGGGAGGUUCAGCGACCCGGUACCGGGAUCUGUCCCUUUUCUUCCUCCUCUAAC